GCUACGCCACUGCUCAGUGUGUCUGGCUAUUAACCAGAAGGCUGGUGGUUCAAACCCACCCAGGGACA